UACGGGGGGGGCAAGCGUUGUUCGGAAUUACUGGGCGUAAAGGGCUCGUAGGUGGCCAACUAAGCCAGACGUGAAAUCCCUCAGCUUAACUGGGGAACUGCGUCUGAUACUGGAUGGCUUGAGUUUGGGAGAGGGAUGCGGAAUUCCAGGUGUAGCGGUGAAAUGCGUAGAUAUCUGGAGGAACACCGGUGGCGAAGGCGGCAUCCUGGACCAACACUGACACUGAUGUGCGAAAGCGUGGGGAGCGAACAGG
rnacentral:rRNA from 1 species